rnacentral:rRNA from 1 species
GACGAACGCUGGCGGCGUGCUUAACACAUGCAAGUCGAACGGAAAGGCCCUGCUUUUGUGGGGUGCUCGAGUGGCGAACGGGUGAGUAACACGUGAGUAACCUGCCCUUGACUUUGGGAUAACUUCAGGAAACUGGGGCUAAUACCGGAUAGGAGCUCCUGCUGCAUGGUGGGGGUUGGAAAGUUUCGGCGGUGGGGGAUGGACGCGCGGCUUAUCAGCUUGUUGGUGGGGUAGUGGCUUACCAAGGGUUUGACGGGUAGCCGGCCUGAGAGGGUGACCGGCCACAUUGGGACUGAGAUACGGCCCAGACUCCUACGGGAGGCAGCAGUGGGGAAUAUUGCACAAUGGGCGGAAGCCUGAUGCAGCAACGCCGCGUGCGGGAUGACGGCCUUCGGGUUGUAAAACGCUUUCGCCUGUGACGAAGCGUGAGUGACGGUAAUGGGUAAAGAAGCACCGGCUAACUACGUG